CAUUACCGAUCUCAUCCAAGAAAAACGCGAGCACGCCUCGCCUUUUCUUAUUACACUGUGAACCCGUCCUUAACCUUUUCAAGGGGUCGGCCAGUCCGUUAAAUGGCACGGACGGAUGGAGUGCACAGCUGCCCGACAGCCCGCUCCUUCGCACCGACCAGCCCCGACAUGUGUUUUUCCUAUCAACACGUAUAGCGACUGAACAAUUCUCCUCGACGUCGUCGCGUUCGCGUUGACUUCGUCGACGGAAACAACUCAAAACAGAAACACAACUUUUAACGGUGGAUCUCUUGGCUCGUGCAUCGAUGAAGAACGCAGCCAGGUGCGAUAAGUAGUGUGAAUUGCAGAAUUCAGUGAAUCAUCGAAUCUUUGAACGCAAAUGGCGCUCUUGGGUUCUCCCAGGAGCAUGUCUGUCUGAGUGUCGGUUUCAAACCUAUCGCGCACCGCCCGUGCCCCUCCCGGUCCACGACCGCGGCGCGGGCAACGGGCGGGCUGGUGCGGCGUUGAGGUCUCUCGGCAGCUUCCGCUUGCCGCGUGCCUCGAAAAGGAGAGAGACCCGGCUGGUCGGACCGACGGACCGACGCAACCGUGCAGGCCAAAACCUAAAAUGUCCUGUCACGGCGGCGCGGCUCGCAGUCCGCAGCGGUACGGACGGGUCGGCGACAGGCGACCGGACGCAACUCGCGUCCCCCCCAACUCUCGACCUCAG
rnacentral:rRNA from 1 species